GGCGAACGGGUGAGUAACACGUGAGUAACCUGCCCACAACUUUGGGAUAACGCUAGGAAACUGGUGCUAAUACUGGAUAUGUGCUCCUGCUGCAUGGUGGGGGUUGGAAAGCUCCGGCGGUUGUGGAUGGACUCGCGGCCUAUCAGCUUGUUGGUGGGGUAGUGGCCCACCAAGGCGGCGACGGGUAGCCGGCCUGAGAGGGUGACCGGCCACAUUGGGACUGAGAUACGGCCCAG
rnacentral:rRNA from 1 species